rnacentral:guide_RNA from 1 species
AUAUAACCUAAAUCAAGAACGAGAUGAACAGAAAUUAAUGGAUGAGU